AUGCAAACGACAAUCACAUCUCAUCUGAACUUGAAGCUUGGGAACAACAAGAUCAGCUUCUACUCGCGUGCCACGCAAGUAGGUUGCAAUCCCUCAUUUCUCUCGACAUGCUUCGCCGUGUCAUUGGCUGCAAAAAUUCAUGGACGCUGUGGGAUAAAAUCCAUGCCUACUUUCAGCAGCACACCCCCCAAACAGAACUUCAAAUAUCACUCUUUAGUUUGUAGUCGAGACACUGUAGCUGUGCUGCCAUUGAAACCAUGCAAGCAGUCUCAUAUUGCUGGUUCAUUUGGGAUGAGGAUGAUUCACUCUUUGAAGGAUACUCUUAAAAAAUGA